rnacentral:rRNA from 1 species
AGAGGACCGGGAUGGACGCACCGCUGGUGUACCAGUUGUUCUGCCAAGGGCAUCGCUGGGUAGCUAUGUGCGGACGGGAUAAGUGCUGAAAGCAUCUAAGCAUGAAGCCCCCCUCAAGAUGAGAUUUCCCAUUCCGCAAGGAAGUAAGAUCCCUGAAAGAUGAUCAGGUUGAUAGGUCUGAGGUGGAAGUGUGGCGACACAUGGAGCUGACAGAUACUAAUCGAUCGAGGACUUAACCAAUUU